GAUUAUAAACGAGGAAGUAACGUGACAAGGCGAAUAUGUGUUGUUUGUUUAAUCAGAACAUACACUUAUCUAUAGUUUUACUAUGGCUGCAACGGCUGUUGGAGAACUGCAACCCGGUAAAACAGGAUCAAUAUCACUACCGCCAAACUCUCUUAUCAAUGACCAAUUGCGAAGACUUGCUAUGGAAAUGAGAGUCAUUGUGAUCGGGAAGACAGGGUCUGGGAAAAGCUCUCCUGGGAACACUAGUUUAGGAGGAGCACCAUUCAUUUCGCAACCAGGAGGUACUUCCGGCACGAGAAACUGUUCUUUUUCUAGGGCAUG